CAAAAGGGCCCACUCGACGAGGGCCAACUCGAGCGAGACUUGGGAUAAGGCUUCCAUCUCUCUCUCUCUCUUUCACUCUCCCUCUCUCUCUCUCUCUCUCUCGCCCGCACGCUAGCUCUCAGACAUGACGGCGAUUUCGACGGGUUUGGCGACCGCCUUCUUCGGUCUCGCAAGGCGGCAGGUGGCCGCGGCCACGGCCCUCCGCCCCCAAGCGCCGCUCCUCCCCCUCCCAUGCCGUGGGAAGACCGCUGCCGUCUCCGCUCGCUCCUAUACCAUCGUCGCCAAACGGACGGCUGGAAUCGGGUCGGGACGGCUCACGGUUUCGCGAAGGUCGGGGGCGUGCGCCCGUCGGUUCGUCACGGCCGCCACCGCGACGGAGGAGAGCUCGGACGUCCUGACGAAGAUUCCGCCGGACGAACGCAUUCCGGCCACCAUCAUCACUGGGUUCCUUGGCUCUGGGAAGACAACUUUGCUGAACCAUAUAUUGACUGCUGAACAUGGAAAACGCAUAGCAGUUAUUGAGAAUGAGUUUGGGGAAGUUGAUAUUGAUGGUUCCUUGGUUGCUGCUAAAACUACUGGAGCUGAGGAUAUAGUUAUGCUCAAUAAUGGUUGUCUUUGCUGCACUGUGAGGGGUGAUCUUGUCCGAAUGAUUAGUGAAUUAGUUGAAAAAAAGAAAGGAAGAUUUGAUCAUAUUGUAAUAGAGACUACAGGGUUAGCCAAUCCAGCACCUAUUAUUCAGACAUUUUAUGCAGAGGAUAAGAUUUUCAAUGAUGUCAAACUGGAUGGUGUUGUUACUUUGGUGGAUGCAAAGCAUGCAGGCUUUCAUUUGGAUGAGGUAAAGCCCAAAGGUGUGGUCAAUGAGGCUGUGGAGCAGAUUGCAUAUGCUGACAGAAUUAUAGUGAACAAGACUGAUCUUGUAGGUGAGUCUGAUAUCUCUUCACUGAUCCAGCGGAUAAAGAAUAUCAACCGCAUGGCUCAUUUAAAGCGAGCAGAGUAUGGAAGAGUUGAUUUGGAUUAUGUUCUUGGGAUUGGAGGCUUUGAUUUGGAGAGGAUUGAGAGUGUUGUUAAUCCUGAAGUUUCAGACGAAGACCACUCAAGGCAUGAACAUGAGCAUGAUCAUGAUCACCAUCAUGACCAUCAUCAUCAUGAUGACCAUGACCAUAAACAUGAGCAUCAUGCUGAUUCCCAUUCUCACGAUCAUAGCCAUGACCCUGGAGUUUCUUCUGUAAGCAUUGUUUGUGAAGGGAGCCUAGAUCUUGAAAAGGCCAAUAUGUGGUUAGGAACAUUGUUGUUGGAACGGAGUGAUGACAUAUACAGGAUGAAAGGUCUUUUAUCUGUUGACGGCAUGCCCGAGAGGUUUGUCUUUCAGCUGGAGCACAUGAGCUGAUAAGCAUUGACCUAUCUCUGAUGGUGGUGGGGAUCACAUUUUUUAAGUGAGAUUAGGAGCUGGGAUGGCUGCAUCAACCCUCUGGGAGUUGAUAGGAAGUGACCUCAAUUGGACUUGAACUACUAAAUCUGACACCUGGUUUUGGAUUAAAGCUAGUGGCUGGGCUUGGCUUCUGUGAUAUUUUGGGUGAACCAUGUUUAUCUGGAUUAGGUCCCCUAAAGUUGGCCAGAUUUGUCUUCAUUGAGUUGGUUUAAGCUGGAUUUUGCUGGAUUCAGAUUGGCGAAGGGCAAGGUUAGAUCCAGUCUUAGGUCUUCUCAACUCAUUUGCAACCUAUGGACGUCUUGUUUGUACGAUGCUCCACAUGCCAAAAUUUUCUAUUUGGCUAUGAGGACUUCACCCCUUUGACUUGAUCAUAUGAGGCCUUGAGCCUUUGAAUUUUAUGACGUUGAGUGGAGAUCCCUUCUCAUCUUUAGACCA